UACAGAGGUCUCGAGCGUUAUGCGGAAUCACUGGGCUUAAAGCGUGUGUAGGUGGCUUGGUAAGUACCUUGUGAAAUCCCACGGCUUAACCGUGGAACUGCUUGGUAUACUGCCAGUCUUGAGCCAGCUAGGGGCUACCGGAACAAAUGGUGGAGCGGUGAAAUGCGUAGAUAUCAUUUGGAACGCCAAUGGUGAAAACAGGUAGCUGGGGCUGUGCUGACACUGAGACACGAAAGCCAGGGGAGCAAACGGG
rnacentral:rRNA from 1 species